CGGGGUGAGUAAUGUAUGGGGAUCUGCCUGAUGGCGGGGGAUAACUACUGGAAACGGUAGCUAAUACCGCAUAAUGUCUACGGACCAAAGCGGGGGACCUCCGGGCCUCGCGCCAUCAGAUGAACCCAUAUGGGAUUAGCUAGUAGGUGGGGUAACGGCUCACCUAGGCGACGAUCCCUAGCUGGUCUGAGAGGAUGACCAGCCACACUGGAACUGAGACACGGUCCAG
rnacentral:rRNA from 1 species